rnacentral:rRNA from 1 species
CCGGCGGUUCGCCGCCGGUGACGUUGUGAGAAGUUCAUUAAACCUUAUCAUUUAGAGGAAGGAGAAGUCGUAACAAGGUUUCCGUAGGUGAACCUGCGGAAGGAUCAUUGCACACACAAGUUGCAGCCAACCCACGGCGAACGAACACAUUGUCCCCCUCGGUGGGUCGUGGCGCCUCGCGGCGUCGCGGCCGGCCAUCUCCCGAGGUCACGAGCGUCAAAACUCGUGGCGUCGGGGGGUAAUCUUUCACGAUGCAUCCACCCUGAAUGACUGAGUCCCUUAUGAGUGAGAAGUGCGAGCUCCGGCCCCCUUCGCGGGGGGUCGGCGCUGGUUACCUCGCGAGUUGAAAUAACCAAAAACAACUCUCAGCAACGGAUAUCUUGGCUCUUGCAACGAUGAAGAACGCAGCGAAAUGCGAUACGUAGUGUGAAUUGCAGAAUUCCGCGAAUCAUCGAGUCUUUGAACGCAAGUUGCGCCCGAGGCUUGUCCCAAGCCAUUUCCGCUAGAGUAGAGUGUCAGCGGCCCCCCCACCAAUCCACUCCCAGCGAGUCGGUUCGAGUGAAAGUGGCCAUCCCAGUCGUUGUAAGGCUGGGUUGGCUGAAAUGGAGGGAAUUUGGCCGCCGUGGUGACACAGUCCGCGAUCGGGUGAUCCGAGCUCUUCACCGAGCCCGGAAUUUUUACUAAGUGCGUGGUUGCGUCCCCCAGUUGGUUAUUACCCCAUGCAGGUCCCGCUCCGCCUUGGCGCUGCACUUCGGGAGCGCGAAGGGGCGAGCGUGUCACGCAUCAGA